UGAGAUCAUGACCUGAACCGAAAGCAGAUGCUUAACUGACUGAACAACCCAGGUGCCCCAACAUCUUACAUUUUUAUGAGCUUUGUAAAUUUGGCCAACUAACGCUUUCUCUGCGUCUCCAUAUUUUUUACACCUGUCAGUUGUCUACACAUCUUGGUAGAUUCCACUUCAGUUAUUCGGCACUAGUGUUUCCUCAACCUCUUUGAAAUUUUCUUGCCUGAACUCAUUCUACACAGACUCUUCAUAGCAGCGAAUUCUUGAGUCACUUCAGACUUGGCAUCACCUCCUCAAAUAAACAACAGAAUAAUAUCGAUGCUAUCCACCUAUCAGUCAAAAAAUACCACCCACAAUUACUCGCCUUGUGUUUUAAUUGAUUAUGGAUGUUGCUUUCAAUAUCACUAACUCCUCAAGCAGCUGUUCCUACUGAAAGGAUAAUAGUCUUAAAACAGUGUAUUUUCUCUGGACACAUUUGUUCAGCUGUUCAAUGAAACAAGACUGGGGUACAUACACUGUUUUCCCUGCUUGGCUAACACAUCAGCCACUUGGAAACUUAGUUUCAUUGUUUAUUUUUACUCUGUUUCAUGACUUAUUGUGAGGAGGAAAUUGCACGGUGGUGAGAUCUUCAGUUGUGAACUUUCCAACUGUAUGACCGUUGUUUCCUUGUGAGUUGGGAUUGUGUGAUGAGGCUGAGGUUGGCAGCAUUGGCGUAUGCUGUAUCCUCCUUGUGUGGCUGUCGUGUCAUGACAUGAGAAACACAAUGCUUUGCCACCUCAGUUUGAUAAAAGAAAAGCUCCUAUGCCAAGGUGCCUUCAAAGAGCAACGCUCGAAGUCACUUUUGUUUCCUGGUUCUGACAUGUUGGUAUAGCUGGUAAUAAAAUAAAGCAAAAUGUUAGGAUAGGGCAAUCCGCACAGCAUUCCCAGCACUGCCAAGGUGCACUGAUGUUACCGUGAUUUACAGUGUGCUGAGCAGCAGUGUUAAAGCAUCCUGCUCUGGGAGCCUGAACACAGGCACAGACACUAAAUGAAUGAACGAACGGGGCUGUGUUCCAGUAAAACUUUAUUAUGGAUACCGAAAUUUGAAUUCCCAUCAUUUUCACAUGUCAGGAAAUAGCAUUCUUGGUUUGCUCCUUCUCAACCAUUUAAAAAUGUGAACACUCUUCUUGAUUUAUGGGCCGUACAGAAAUAGGCGGCAGGCUGCACGGGGCCCACAGAGCCUAGUUUGUCAGCCCCGGUUUUAGGCCACUUGAGGAUGCUGGGCUCUGCUUCUGUUCGGAAGGCUUCCCUCCUGGGCAUGCAAGGGAGAUUUGUCCAAAGCCGGGGCAGCCCUGGGAACACCAGCCAGGCGGGUAGUCUGAGCGCGGGCAUUUCCUUGCAGGACGGUACCCGAGUCGUAGGAAAAUGCGGUGGUUACUGCGGAAAAUGUACUCCGUCCUCUGGCACUGGCCUGGAGGUUCGAAUUUUAUAGUCAAGGUGCUCUGAAGAGGAAACCACUAUGGGAUGGAUGAAGGAUAGUAAUGCAAUACCUCCACCUUAAAUUUGUGUGUGUGUGUGUGUGUGUGUGUGAGGACUUGUAUGAGUGUGUGUGUGUACAUAUGCACAUAUAUACAUAUACACACAUAUAUGUACAUACAUAUGUAUGUACAUAUAUGUGUGUAUAUAUGUGGAAUAUCCUAAUGAUGUAAAGUUUAAUAUUUAUGUUUGAAAUUAUUUAUUGUGAUGUAAUAUUUUUGUACGUAAAAUGAUUCUAUUAUGACUGCCUUUUGCAUUAUUUUGUCCCUUGCAGUCAGAUCACUGCAUUUUACGUACUCUACAUUAUAUGUAGUACUAUGACAAAAGUGAUCCUUCAUUAUCACGGUACACUAUUGUUUACUUUCUAUCUGUAAAUAUUUUAUUGUUACUUUUUAAAAUUGUACUUCAUUUUUUUAAAACAACCUAGCUGCCAUCAAGGUGCUACAGGAGUUGUGUAAGUGUACUUUGGCAUUUCUAGGAAAGUAUCAGCCAAUAAGUAACGUAGUGAUGUCACAGAUCGUUCCAGCUAUUAGUUAUGUUAACUAUUCAGUUUCAUGUGAUCUCUGGGAAAAAAAAAAAUUGCUGCCUUGGUGCUAUAUAUUGUAUAUAUUUAAGUGAUCAUCAGCCUCAGAAAUGUAAACAUUUUUAAUAAAAGGGAGGAAUGGAAGGACACUUUGCAAUGGACAGAAUCACUUGGAAAAAUAAGACCAGCUUGUUUAUCCUUAUUUUUGGACAUGCCUAUUUUGGAAGAGAGUUGGACUCUGUUCUUCUUUUUUGUUAUUGUUGUUAAUACUUUGCUUCAGUUCAUGGUGCCUGGAGCUCUCUGAAGUUAAAUGGAGGGUACCCCAAAGCAGCUUCAUUACAGAGUGAUACUGAGAAAGUGGGAUCCUCUCAACAUUUUGCCAAGAUGUUCUAAAGUGGUGUCCAAGUUUAUCAGUGGCAAGACAGAGGAUGCUCAGGAUGGGAUGACCUUCAGCACUCCCAGCACACCUGGAGAAGUUCAGAACCAGUUCUUAGUCAUCACGAUUGCCUUUUGCAUAAACACCUUGGCUGGUGACAUGACUUCUCGUCAGGAUGUGAGCCUAGGACCCUGCCCAGUGUCCGUGGCUGCUAUACCAUAAUCAGCAUUUGUGAGAAGACAUAAACUGUGGAGUACAAGACACCUGAGUCUUUCUGAUUUUCCAUUAAUGCACUGCUUGAUACUUAUUUCCAAAAUGGAAGUUGAAGUCAGUGUCCUUCUGCCCUUCUGACCUGAUUGAAGGGAAAUCAUUACCAGUGGCCCAUGGCAGGUGCUCGCUUUGAGAAAUCCUACCCACCUCCACAACCCGAAGAGAUUAGAAAAAACCUGGCAGUAACCUCCAACCUCAAACAAACUCCAGAGUGCUCCAGAAGAAGUUAUACUCAGCGUAGGAAUAAGUGUUAUUCUCCUUUAUUAAUACAUUGUGAAAUAUACUAUGAAUAAAUACCAUGAGCACAUCCAAA